UACGGAGGGAGCUAGCGUUGUUCGGAAUUACUGGGCGUAAAGCGCGCGUAGGCGGUCUAUAAGUUGGGGUGAAAUCCGGAGCUCAACUCGGAACUGCCUCCAAACUGCUAGACUCGAGUUCGGAAGAGGUAAGUAGAAUUCCCAGUGUAGAGGUGAAAUUCGUAGAUAAUUGGGAAGAUACCA
rnacentral:rRNA from 1 species